ensembl:snoRNA SNORA73 Small nucleolar RNA SNORA73 family
CUAACAUGGAUAAUCUGGGGAGGUCAGUAGUGCCAGGCUAUGUCCAAGUAGCAUAGAGAAGCCUAGAGCUCUGCUCUGUGGUUUCCAAUCCCUUUGCAAAACGUUUUAGGUGAAACUGGGCUUUGUGUCUGCACCUGCAUAUUACUGUCACUUCUCUGAGUUCUGUAUAUAGUGACUGAGAAGAUAAGCCAUGCAGGAAACAAUG